rnacentral:rRNA from 1 species
GAUGAACGCCGGCGGCGUGCUUAACACAUGCAAGUCGAACGGAAAGGCUCCUGCUUGCAGGGGUACUCGAGUGGCGAACGGGUGAGUAACACGUGGGUGAUCUGCCCUGCACUUCGGGAUAAGCCUGGGAAACUGGGUCUAAUACCGGAUAGGACGAUGGUUUGGAUGCCAUUGUGGAAAGUUUUUCGGUGUGGGAUGAGCUCGCGGCCUAUCAGCUUGUUGGUGGGGUAAUGGCCUACCAAGGCGUCGACGGGUAGCCGGCCUGAGAGGGUGUACGGCCACAUUGGGACUGAGAUACGGCCCAGACUCCUACGGGAGGCAGCAGUGGGGAAUAUUGCACAAUGGGCGCAAGCCUGAUGCAGCGACGCCGCGUGGGGGAUGACGGCCUUCGGGUUGUAAACUCCUUUCGCUAGGGACGAAGCGCAAGUGACGGUACCUGGAGAAGAAGCACCGGCUAACUACGUG